rnacentral:ncRNA from 1 species
ACUCUGGCUGAGUUAGUGAUCGGCUUGAGAUACAUUUACUUUUUUUGGAGAUACACAUGUCACUAAGUGCUGAAACAAAAGCAAAAAUUUUGGCUGAUUUUGGUCGCUGCGAA